rnacentral:misc_RNA from 1 species
CUCUUUUUCUCUCGUUCGCCAACUCCAUCCUCUUCUCGCGCGCUUUUCGAACGCGUGGCGUGGACGUCACACGCCGCACUAUAAAGAAGCAACUUUACGCCUCGCCGCCACAGUCUCGCGAUCGUCGCCGCGUUGCGCGUAACCGAGUUCCUUCUCGUUAUCCGGAAGCGCAAUUAAUCGCGAUAUACUCGACGUACUCGUUUGGACGCAGUGUGAAACCAUCGCGACCAGUUGUCAGUACGCUGUGUCAUCUCGACGAUAACGACAAGGUUGCUAUAUCAUCUUCCCAAAAUUGUCUGCUUCAGAAGUCGCCAAAGUGGCGUAAGCAGUACGCUCCUCAUAUCAAAACAUAACAAGAUUUAUUUGGAAAAGGAGACACAAGAGGAAAAGAUAGACCAAACUGCCGACGGUUCAUUGAUAGUGAAAAAGCUUGUUUCCGUAGCGAGGUGCGCAUCGGACGUGGCCGAAACGAGAGAAGAA